UACGUAGGGGCAAGCGUUGUCCGGAUUAUUGGGCGUAAAGAGCGUGUAGGCGGCCAGGUAGGUCUGCUGUGAAACUCGAGGCUCAACCUCGAGACGUCGGCGGAAACCAUCUGGCUAGAGUCCGGAAGAGGAGAGUGGAAUUCCUGGUGUAGCGGUGAAAUGCGCAGAUAUCAGGAAGAACACCCGUGGCGAAGGCGGCUCUCUGGGACGGUACUGACGCUGAGACGCGAAGCGUGGGGAGCGAACAGG
rnacentral:rRNA from 1 species